rnacentral:misc_RNA from 1 species
GUUUCUUUUCCUUGAGAUUUACUUUGUUAGACUCCAAUGCAAUGCUUUUCACAUGUCUUAGUCCUUUAAUGGAGAUAUCACCUCUAAGCUGGUUUAGGCUAUUCAAUUCAUUCAAUGUGGAACAUCUCCUUCUUUGAUUUGUUCCCACAAUGAAAGUUGGUAACCUUUGCAAGCUAGUUAAUCUCCCCAACCCCACUGGCAUGCAUUCAAGACUAUGACAUUGAUCAAUUAGGAGGUGUCUAAGACAAAUCAAUUUUCUUAUAUCUCUCGGUAAUUCUCUAAGAACCCAACAAUCUGAGAGUAUUAGAGUUUGCAAAUU